GGAUGAGAACCUCCGGGGGCAAGAGGUUCGACUCGAGCGCAGCGAGAGAACGUUGCGUCAGCAACGGCCCGCAGGGCGAGCCACGCAGUGGCGAGUCAUCCUCUAUCACCGACCA
rnacentral:sRNA from 1 species